AGUGAACGCUGGCGGUAGGCCUAACACAUGCAAGUCGAACGGCAGCACAGUAAGAGCUUGCUCUUACGGGUGGCGAGUGGCGGACGGGUGCGGAAUACAUCGGAAUCUACUUUUUCGUGGGGGAUAACGUAGGGAAACUUACGCUAAUACCGCAUACGACCUACGGGUGAAAGCAUGGGAUCUUCGGACCUUGCGCGAUUGAAUGAGCCGAUGUCGGAUUAGCUAGUUGGCGGGGUAAAGGCCCACCAAGGCGACGAUCCGUAGCUGGUCUGAGAGGAUGAUCAGCAACACUGGAACUGAGACACGGUCCAGACUCCUACGGGAGGCAGCAGUGGGGAAUAUUGGACAAUGGGCGCAAGCCUGAUCCAGCCAUACCGCGUGGGUGAAGAAGGCCUUCGGGUUGUAAAGCCCUUUUGUUGGGAAAGAAAAGCAGCAGGUUAAUACCCCGCUGUUCGGACGGUACCCAAAGAAUAAGCACCGGCUAACUUCGU
rnacentral:rRNA from 1 species